CGUCACUGUUGCCAUGGCGAUGCUUUUACCAACUCCCCUCAUCCUCCCCGCCAGCCCGGCACUCCUGGGUGCGGCACGGGACCGGAGGUGCUUUCGACCUCCGAGGCUGCGACCGCGUGUCCUGUAGCAGCAACCACUGCAGAUGGGGCGUUGCAGCUCUCGAGCUGCUGCGGCUGCAGCUGGACUUGGCAGGGGCACCCGAAAGCCAGCAAUUCCCUUAUGGAAAGGUAGAUUCAGGAGAUCUGGGCAGGACUGCGUGUUAGCGUCAGGCUCCCUUAUUUCCUAG
rnacentral:lncRNA from 1 species